AUUUCAAAAGAUAGAAAAGAAAAUCACUAUACAAAUGCAAUCUGUUAACUGGGCAGAGUCAACUCUUAAAACAAACCCUACAAUAGAUAAUAAACUUCUAAAAAUCAAUCAAAGAAAAAAAAAGAUCUUUAUUUGGCCAUUUUAAUGAGUAUAGUGGUUCUACUAACACAAUAGAGAGAGAAAAUGAAAAAAAGAAAUAUUUCUGAAUCACAAUGAUGUUCAUAGUAUCAAUCUGAAAUAAACAGUAUCCCAAACAAGUAAUUUUAAAAAGAACAUAAGAAAAACUAUAUAAAAAAAAGAAGAAGCAUUAUUAGCAUUCCAUCAACUAGCUUGGACAGAAAUUACUAUGAACAAAUGAAUGUUAAGCAGCUAAAAAGAUAAUAGAUCAAAAUUUUUCUGAAACUACACUUAUCUGAUCAAUAAUGAAACCCUAAGACUCCAAUAAUGCUUGGUGAGCUAUCAUUUUCCCAUUUAUUUCAAGUGUUUUCUGAAUGUCACUUCACUUCCACGGCAAUAAAUAGAACUAUGAGAACAAAACAAAAGAAGAGCAGAUAAAAGAGGGGAAAGAUAAGAAAAAGAAAGGGGGAAGAAGAUAAACAACGUUUGGAUGAAUGAAAAAAAAUAAUUUCUGAGGAAAAUAAAAUGAGAUGAUAAGAUUUAUUUUAAGGAAUAAUA
rnacentral:lncRNA from 1 species